rnacentral:rRNA from 1 species
ACACGACUACAUUAGAUACCCCCCGUAGUCCAGGGUGUAAACGCUGCAGACUUGGUGUUGGAGGCCCUUUGGGGGCAUUCAGUGCCGGAGAGAAGUUGUUAAGUCUGCUACUUGGGGAGUACGUCCGCAAGGAUGAAACUUAAAGGAAUUGGCGGGGGAGCACCGCAACGGGAGGAGCGUGCGGUCUAAUUGGAUUCAACACCGUAAACUCACCAGGGAAGACUGUUACAUGAAGGCCGAGAUGAAGACUCUGCUAGAUUUUCAG